rnacentral:misc_RNA from 1 species
UUUCCGUAGGUGAACCUGCGGAAGGAUCAUUAGUGAAUAAACAAGUGCAGGUUGUGCUGGCCUUCUUGGUAUGUGCACACCUGCCAAAGUUUCAUUCCAUCUUCCCACCUGUGCACUCUGUGUAGAUUCUGUAUGCUGUUGUCAAGCCUUUAUUGUGCUUGGUUGAGAGGAGUUGCUUGUUUUCACAAACAAGCUCUUCUUGGGCAUGCGGGUCUAUGUUUAUAUCAACACCAUAUAUGAAUGUUUUAGAAUGUGUAUCAGGCUUUUGGCCUUUAAAUUAUAUACAACUUUCAACAACGGAUCUCUUGGCUCUC